UGUGUGUGCAAUACAAAGUCAAGUUGUGUUUUCGAGCUGGUUUGCUAAAGAGGCUAAUGUAGCUAACAAAACAAUGACUAGCCAAUGGGAAACGGGAAUGCUAUAAGUGCUGCAAAACAGGAAAGUACGUCACGUUCUCGCUAGAACAGGUUGUACUACUUCUCUACUUCCGGGGUAUGGAGCCUCGCAUAGUACCAAAACAUCCAUUUAUGGCGUACAUGAUUCAUUUCCCUUGCUGGCCGUCGAGUAACUUCUGAGGUUGUCCCGGUCUUCAAGGUGGGAUCUUACCCGUCGUUGGCUAACCAGCCUUCCAUACUGGCUUAGUGCAGGAUGCCGUGCCUGUGAUACAAUCAAUCCCCACCCAUAAGGUGGUUUUGACCGCAAAGUGGAGGGAUGGAGACAGAGUCUUCAAUCACAAUUGCCCAUGCAGCCAAGGCAGUGUGUAAUGGACACACCAGAGCAGCUACAACAACAACAACUAAAAUUUGACUCUGUGUGUGCGGGGGGUAUAUGAUGGGGUGAAUCUAAAGGUAAUUCAUCAGAGUUAAAAGUAUCAUAUUAUCAAAUGUUAAUAUUCUAUAAAAGUGUUGCAGCAGCAGUCAUGGCAUUUGAAAGGUAAACCCACCACUUCUGAAUGUAAAUUGAGACCUAGCAUGUAGGAUCCCUUCCCAGCAGAUGUAGCGUUAAUCCACCUACUGUCCUUAACUAAGGAGAUGUGAAAAUAAAACAAAAAAUCACAAUAUUAAAACUUGCAUUUUCAAUAUUAGGCGAUUCACUUCUGUGUUAACCGUUACUCAUAAUCAUAAUUCCCUUUAUAAUUCCACCCGAUUGUCCUAUACUCACUAUUUAAAUUGGGCGAUCUAAUCGUAUUAUAUUCUACCUGUUGUUUUGUCUGAAGUAAGCUUUUGGUACCCCUUUGUGUAUUCCAUCACUCUAAGCAGGAGAGGAUUCUCCCCUGCCUCUGUGACCCUAACACACACACGAGAGCAGGCUCAAACACACACCCUUUUUUAUUGUAUUUUACUUAUUUUAUUUUAAAUGUCAUUUGUCAUUGUGGAUAACAUGAAUUCAUAAAUUUGAAUAAUAUUUUAUCGUACUCAUUCAGUCUAAUUUUUAAGUAUUGCCGAUUAUUAUUUCUAGAUUGUACGACCACUUUUAAUAAAUGUCCA
ensembl:lncRNA